rnacentral:miRNA from 1 species
AUGCGGAUAAUAUAGCCAUGCGAAGUUUGCCGUUUUUCAGUCAUUUUGUAUUACGCACGGGAAAUUGCCAGCCCAAUCGGGUGUUGGGCAUCAAUUUCCCGUUUGUAAUACAAAAUGACUGAAAAACGGCAAACUUCGCAUGGCUAUAUUAUCCGCAUUU